UUUUGGCUAUAGAAAGUAACUGGGGAAUUGCUGGACCCACUGCUGGUAUGGUCAGUAUCCCUUUCAAGUAACGCAGAUCAUAUGCUCCAUUUACAGAAGCAUCUGAGCUGCUGCUACAGCAAAAAACUUAUCACUUAACCCGGGCCAUCAGAUCAGUCUACAUUAUGGUCUGCUGCUCACCAAAAAAAAAAAAAAAAAAAAAAAUCAGAAAAGCUGUGAUAAAGGCUAAUUUCCUUAGAUUCCUUAUUCCUUUUUACAUGGAUGAUACAGUUAUUUUUAAGCAUCUGUGUUUGUGCCAACAGUUUUUUCUCUUAAGCUAGUGCUGAGAAACUGCUUUUCCUCUCCAAGGACACUCCUCUGUGGGCUACUGCAGCAUAACCAGCUAAACUUCAUCUGCCUUGUUCAACGCUUGAAAGGAGCCAUUUACAGAAUUUUCCAGGAAACACAGGCUGAGAUUUUUCAGCUGCCCCAGGUGGACUUGGGGAACUAGUGACAGAACUAGGACUCAAACACAACGGUACGCAGGUGGGUCUGGUGGUUUGGAAGGAGUCUGAAGCUAUUCUGAAGAAUGACUAACCUUUUCUAUUGAACCUGUAAGCACUUUUUUGAGGAGUCUGCAGCCACCUGCUGCGGUACUGUCACCUAAACCACAGCCUGGUGCAAUUGCUGUACUGUUAGGCAGUGCUCUGAAACAAUCCUGAUAUUGAACCUGACCCGGAACAUGGUUUCUCGUUUGUAGUUCGGGGGCGUUGCUGUGUGAUACAAGUUGUUCAGCUGCCUUUGUAUUUCUAGGAAGUGCCUGGGAAGCCCUAGUUGUCUUAAAACCUACAGGAAAAAGAUAAAGGAGCAAACAGACUGUCUCGCUGUCAUACCUGAGGUUAUCAGAAAUGCCUGUGCUUGUUAACCACAAAAACAAGGAACUGCUUGAAAAGCAGGACAUGUGAUUAUGUUUUCUCCCCCUCUCACCUCCCUCUUUUUAUCCAAUGUAACCUGAGUUUGGCGGGCUGCUGGAUGGGUUGGAAAUCCUUGCAUUUAGGUUGAUACUUGGAUAUUGGAAAGAAAUCAGAGUUCUUACACUGUUUGACUUGAUAGUGAAUGAAUACUGCGUCAUGUAAGAACAUGCUAUUUCAUAUCAAGAAGCAAGUAAAUAAGUCAGUCUUUAAUGCAGAAAUGUAAGAUGAAAAGUACGAUCAUUUUUUCCAGCAAUAUUUUCACUUCUUUAUUGAGUGUCCCUUUUGGCUGGUUUUUUUUCUUUUCGUAUUUACAAAGUAACUUCCAUUCUCCUUCAAGUGAUUUUGCAGUUUGAAAAAAGGACGGAUCUUUACAUGUAUGUGGAAAAUAAUUUUCUUAAAAUGAACACAUCUAUUCAGGCACUUUUUUACAACUUUGCCUGAAAGAUGAUAUUUUCCUUUUUUAUUAUUAUUAUUUUGACCAUUCCCAAGUGACCUUUUUCAUUAGCUUUUUCGAAAAAUGCACUGUACUAGAGAGAAUCCUAGGACUGUGACUGAAAUCAGACCAGUUUCAAACGUAAACUAAUGACCUCAUUUGUCUUGCAUAAAAUACAUGUUUUUUAUUUUUGUUGGAACAGUAUUACCUUACUAUGUAAUGAAUGUAAAAUAUAUCUCCUGAUUCCAUGUUCCUAUAACUUAACCCUUUCUUCGUUUUCUGAGUUUGGUUAACUUCUUCAUGUCAGGACUACUUCAAAUUCUCACAAAGCUUUUGUUUAUUUCAGGUGACUUCUUCAUUUAUCAACAUGAUAUUCAAUUUAUAGUGACUAGACUUUUGCUCUUCUCCAUUUCAAGUGAUGCUGGUUAGAAUCUUUUCUCCCUGCACUGGCCCACAACUGUUAAUAAACACACAGAGAAGUGUGUUGCAGGAAUGGAUUCUAGUAGAACACAUUUCUAAAUUUUCUUCCAGUUAAUACUAACACCAGUGCAUUUCUUCUCUACAUUAGGUUUAUUUCCCCAUCAAAGAAAGCAGGUUUAAUUAGUUGCACUUGAGCUCUGAUUAUCAAGUUGACUACUACUUGAUUAUUGUCCUACUGGUGCUUGAAAUUCCAGCAGUAAGCUUAGUAUUUGAUGAGAAAUACUAAACUGUAAGCUCUUACACACGCAUUUUGAAAUAGUUUACGUACUUGCCAUUUCCCAAGCUCUCUCACCUCAUCUAACCAGUUCAUGUAGACGUGAGGGUGGAUAAUUCCAGUUAAACGUUGCUAUUUCCUUCUCUAUAAGCAGAGAUCUAUUCUAAGAGAAACUCUAGCUACAGCUUGUGACAACAACACAGGUUUAGAUAGAGUCUUGAAGACAACAGCAAGAUGGAAGUGAAGGAGAAGAUAAGAUGGGUGACUUUUUGUAGGUAUUUACCAAAAGAGAACACUUGGGGAAAAAAGGCAAGCAAAUAGUGCAAGUGACCUUUUGAAUAACUGAUGUACAGUUCAGAUUUACAAGACUGGCUAGCGAAGGAAAAAGAAAGUUGCAGAUCAAGUUUCAUUAACUGAAGGAGCGAAAAGGGAGAAAGGAGAAAACAGAGUAGCAGACGAGCAGCGAAGAGAAGGCAGGAUCAGCAAAAAAAGAGGAAAAAACUGUGAAGGUAGUAUCUGGUGCUCAAGGAACAGUGAACAUGAUAAAUGGACUGUGAAAAAGAACAGGUGACAGAAUGGUCUGCAGACAGAAGAAAGAAAACAUGGGGAAGCUAAGGAAGAUGUGGUUAGCAUGAGAAAGAGGGCCUGCCUGUAACUGGUACUCCCUUCUGAAGAAAAAUGGGUAGGCUGACAUGCAAAUGGAUCCAGAAGUACGUUUGCUAAGAUAAAAAUUAUAGAUUUAGAUCUGAAAACUAUAAUGAUCCAGUGAACAGAAAUGUACAGAUUUCCUAGAAACUUCAGUGGAAUUUUCCCAUUUCCUGAAGAAGGAAGGGCAAAGGUGUGAUGAUCAACAGAUGACUCAAGAAUUGGUGCUGAGAUUGAUGGAUUACUGAGAACAGCACAGAAAGAGAACAUUUCGUAAUGGGUAUGCUAGUAUUAUGGAUACUUUCUGAGAUUCAAUUUAGACCCAUGCAGGGGGCAAUUAAGAUAUAUUUUAUACAGCCCAUGCCUACAUGAACAGAAAGAAGGAGGAAGGGCGCAGGAUAUGAAGGCUCAUCACAAAGCAUGGCAUGGAGAAAGACAGACAUAGUGCUGGUAGAGUAACAAUCAGCCUAGACAAACUUCUGGGAUCAGGAAACAAAAACAGAAGACAAUUUUUAAGAAAGCACUUUGUAACCUCACGAGAGGGUUUAUGCGAGACACUUGCAAAAGCAGGCAGGAAUAAAAUCUAUGUUUUCAAGAUCCCCUUCCUGUUGUAUGCUCUUAAACAUCUAUCUAGAUGGUCUCUGACUUUCUCUUGAUCCUGUCUUAAGACAGCUUCUUUUUGUUAACCAUGUUUUGUAGUGUCAAGCCGCUGUUACACAUGGCAGCCGAGCAGUUUUUAAGCAUUUCAGCUUUCCCCAUGCCUCUUGAAACAGAGAGGUAAAGCAAAUCAUAGUCACGUGCUCUUUUGUUGUUCUUUCUUUCUCAAAGCUCGUUCUGCUUUAUAAGGUAAUUCCACUUGCUUUUUUUACCAAUUACUCUGCUAUGGCUGAACACUUUUCACCUGACUUUCUAAGAAAACGAGGUUUACGUGAUUGUGCAUCUGCUAGCCUUUCCGUAUGACCCCUGAAUCCAUUGGCCUAUUUCAUCCAAAUCUGACCAACAGGAUGAAAAAUCAGAAAUACUAAGUUUCUGAAAAAAUGAUGCCUUUAUCUAGACAGCUGGAUAAAGGAGAGACCCCGAUAGUGGCAAGGCUGUAAGAGCUCACUCUUACCAGUUACCUUGAAAUCCACAUGAGAAGUCAUCCUACAGGCACAAAUCCAGAGGAAACCAGGCUUGACCAGGUGGUGGCAUGAGUAGGACUUUAGCCUGGGAGAACCUGAUGCCUGGCUUAACUGUUGCUGUAAUGCUAGUGUAGACAUCGUGCGGUGGUGGGACAUCUAAUGAGAAUGGCUAGCAUAAAUGAAGUCUUUGUGACUGGGCUUUUGAGUGUCUGUUACCUUCUUCGGCUGUUCUAUGGUUUCUGUCCCUAUUGUCCCCCCGAUUCUGGUGGUUUUCAUCUCCUGGUUUAAAAAAUGUCGCCACUAUAACAAUGCUCUUUCUUUUAUGUUCUUCUGUCUGCUGGCAAAUGGUGGUUUCACUGUUCUGUAGUUUGCAGAUUUAGUUGGUCUGACAGGGGAGAAAACAUGAUGAAGACACAAAAAACAAUGUAAGAAAAACAUGUGAAACUAAAUUGCUAUGAUAUCUCAUUGCUAAACUAAUGGGAUGCAUACAUGAAUCAUUCUCCAUCCCAGUUGUAAAGGACUACUGCUCAUCCCCACCUAAGAAGGUAUCUGCAGAAAGCAUGCUAAAAACGAGCCUAGGGUUUCUCAGCAACAGUGAAUGAUCAACAUGUAUCCAAACAGUAUUUAAAAACAGUAUGUCAAAAUUCUGCCGUUAGUAGAAAUGAGAAGAUGGUGAGAACAAGAAUGGUGGUUCUUUCAUGAAGCGUAAUUUUUAGGAACAUCAGGUAAUUAUGUUGAAGUUACGGCUUUGGGAAUGUUAUUCUUCUGAGUAAUUUCUUGAAAACCUGUGUGUCUACCUUUCCAUCAUCUGUAUUGACAGGCAAGGUGGCCUAAUGCUAGCCACCAGAAAUGACUGUGACUGCAAUGAUGGUAUGGAUAACGAUGUUACAGGUGGAGCAUGUUUCCAUUACAGACUGAAAUUUAAGUUAAAUAGCUCUGACUAUAUUUACCACUGAUGAUAAUGAGCAAUUAGUUCUUUUCCAUAGGAAGGACACUGAAAGCAGGAAAUACAGUAUUCAGCAUUUUUCUGUUACACAGAUGCAUUCCACGUAAACAAUCUAUUUCCUUCUUCCCAUCUAAAAGACUGCUUUUAUGCAUAACUCACACAUAUAUUCUGUAACACUUUUAUACCUGUAGGUAAUAGCUAUAAUCCACCAGAGAGCUCUUUGCACAUGAAGUGGAGUCAGCACCUUCAUCCUAAAGGUAAACAAGAUUGAUCAUACGUAUUUGAUCUCACAAACCCUCACUUUGAUAAGCCCCAGCCAGUUGUGUACUGCUUUCCAUCUGUUGCAACAUGAUGCAUUUGCACACUAGCAACUGAUGACAUAUAAACACUCUCUCCAGCAAAACUCCCAGUGACCCCUCCUCUCACAGAUCUAUUGACAGCAUCACUCAAUGUUGAACAAAAUUCCCAGUGACUCGGUGAUGCAUUCUGUGAAGCAAAAUUCAGCUUUGCAAAUGAUUUUCCUUAUCGUGGUCCUACAGCUUCAAGAUUCAGCGUGGAGGCUUUUUUUUACCUCUGCACACCGAAUCAGGCUGGGUAGGUUAUUGGAACUGAUCCUUUCUCUGGGAGAAUUGAAGCACUGUUAAAUCUUCUGCAAAGAAACCUCAGGAUUACUUUAGGAGUAACUCAGGAUUGGUGAAAAGCAACAAACUCUACCUCAGCUGUUGUGAGACAACAACUAGCAUCGCUGAGUGCCAACUACAGCCCAGCACCACAAGGAGGAGACCCCAGAACCUCAAGCCCUGCUACCAAACUCCAUUUGUGAGGCAGACCAUGACCCACAAGACCACUGAACACCAACCCUCUCAGACAACAAGCUUUUGUGUUCAUGAAGGAAGCGUCAUUGCCUUAACGUACUAAAUGAUGGUUGUCUGCCUCACCUAAGGUGUAAAUUAAAUUUCUAACUACUUUCUUCAUCAAAUUGAACAAAGAUUUAAGCUGCAGUGCAAAAGAAAAUGUUCAACAUGGCUGUACUACCUUCUGCAACACUAUUCACAAGAGAAUGGCAGAAGCUUCUUGGGUUUGAGUUUCUAGAAAUUGGACUGGACUAGGCACCAGAAGACAGCGUUACAUUGCACUGUCAGCUAACCUGAACUACGUGGCCUACUACGUCCUUCCCUUGCUGUUGUCCAAGGAAGGACAAGGACUUGCCUGACUUUCUAAACAGUGCCUAUGUGCAGGCAAGGACAUGGCACUCUGCAAUAGCUGUACGAAUACACAAGUAACUCCGGACUGAGGUUCCUUGCUGCUAAGGUUUGAACAGUUUCAGAUACUACGGGAACUUCACACGCAAAAAACCCAGCGCUGCCGGCAUCAGGCAGUAACCAAGAUGACAUGCCAAGGGUCUAAAAUUUGGACUUGGUGCCUAACUUGCUCCAGUUGGAGGAGCUGAGCUGCCUUCUCCUAACUCAGGAGCUUCGCUGAGCCCUAGAGCAGCUGCAAGUCUGACCAUGGCAAUAUCCAUCCUGUGUCUAUCUGAAAAGUGGUACUGUGCACCUUGGAUCCUCCCUGCCAUCAGUGGUUAGUAAUGCUGUGACUCCCAAAAUAAUUCAGCCUAUACAGGGAAUUGGAAAUGCUUUUAAUUAUUCUCACGUAACACCUCCCCAACAAAUGACUCCCGCCUCCUAUUUAUAUGAGGCUUGGGUGUGUAUAUGUAUUUAUACCAUACCUUGAAGCAGAGCACAGACCACAGUGCAAGCACAGAAGCAGCUCCUACUGAAAGCAGAUAGAAGUGAAAGCCCAAGUACUAAUGCAGUGUAUCAAAGACGCACAAGAGCCACUCUACAGGGGCAAACAUGUAAAUGUAUAACAGAUACUUUGUAAAAAAGCAAACCAAAAAGCAUCAGAGCAUAGUUUCAUUCACAUACAUCCGAGUAGGAAACUUUUUAUUACUCUUUUAAGUUCUCAGAAUUUAUUAUUUGAUGGUAAUCGAUAUUGAUAACUGAUACUGUACUUCUGCCCUUUCCAGGAGAGUGGCUGACAGCUAACACAACUCAGCCUGGGCUCAGUUGCUGCAGAAAAGCAGGAUGGCUGAUGGCAACACCUCAGAUCAACAACACACACAGUGGAGGCUGAUUCACAAAGUCAUACCAGUGCCCGUGAGAUUCUGCUCUGAGAAGUCACCACCCAGUUUGCUCCCACCAAAAUCACACGCUCCACUAACCUAUCUCUCCUGUGGUACCUUUAAAAACACCCCUGGAAUGAGAAGGUGCACCUUCCAUUGCCUGAAAACGUCACUUUUAAAUUUCAGCUAAUGCUACACUGGAAAUUUAUUUCCACCGCAUUGUACUCAGUGGUUUCAUAAUGAUUGGUAUGUGUGUUGACACCAUGUUACCAAAUAAUGAAGACUAACAAUGCAUGAGCACUGAAAUACUUGACUCGGGCUCGAGGCUGGUA